rnacentral:rRNA from 1 species
GAUGAACGCUAGCUACAGGCUUAACACAUGCAAGUCGAGGGACCGGCGCACGGGUGAGUAACACGUAUCCAACCUGCCCUUUACUCGGGGAUAGCCUUUCGAAAGAAAGAUUAAUACCCGAUAUAAAGGAUGGGGAUGCGUUCCAUUAGGUUGUUGGUGAGGUAACGGCCCACCAAGCCUUCGAUGGAUAGGGGUUCUGAGCGAAAGGGCCCCCACAUUGGACCCGAGACCCGGUCCAAACUCCUACGGGAGGCAGCUGUGAGGAAUAGUGGUCGAUGUGCGGUAGCCUGAACCAGCCAAGUAGCGUGAUGGAUGAAGGCUUAUGGGUCGUAAACUUCUUUUAUAGAAGAAUAUGUAUUAUCUGAAUAAGGAUCGGCUAACUCCGUGCCAGCAGCCGCGGUAAUUC